rnacentral:lncRNA from 1 species
UUGGCCAGGUGAAGAUCCACCUACCACACAGUUAUUGGAGUCUUUUCCCGACUGAGAAAACUUGAAGCACGAGAGGAUGAGAUGGUAAGAUUCAUGAUCUUCAAGCAUGAAGGUAAGAUGCAUGAUUGAAAAGUUCAAAGACUUACAAAGUUGAAAUUAGGAAGAGUCGGAAGAGGAGGAAGAACGGGCAAAGUGGAACCCUGCAUAUUAUUUCUGAGUUGAGCAAAUGUCUCUUGCAGGAUUGCCUGUUGUUUAACCAUGAAUUCUUGCUGUUGAAAGCCUGCUGCAUUUUCAUGGCUUGCUCCUCUCGAAGCCUGGC